AGUAGCUUUGCCGUCGUCGAUGUCGUGGAUA
rnacentral:antisense_RNA from 1 species